rnacentral:rRNA from 1 species
UACGUAGGUGGCAAGCGUUGUCCGGAUUUACUGGGCGUAAAGGGCGUGCAGGCGGUUUGUUAAGUGCAGGGUGAAAGCUCCCGGCUCAACUGGGAGAGGUCCUUGCAUACUGGCAAACUCGAGGGAGGCAGAGGAAAGUGGAAUUCCCGGUGUAGUGGUGAUAUGCGUAGAUAUCGGGAGGAGCACCUGUGGUGAAGGCGGCUUUCUGGGCCUUACCUGACGCUGAGACGCGAAAGCGUGGGGAGCGAACCGG